AGAAGCAGGAGUUUUAUUAACAGAAGAAACACUGAAAGAGCACUUCUAUGAUGCAGAAAGUGGGAGUGGAUAUCUUGCUUGGCUUCUGAAAACCGUGCAGAGAAAUGCAUCUUGUCAUGCUGAAAAAAGAAUGAUCCUAACUCUCAAGGAGGUCCAAACGUCAGAGAGUCACUAGCUCGGAGAAGCAGCUUGAUGGAGAUUCUGCCAGAGAGGCCAUCUCACUUCUUGUCCAUACAGCAAUUGAAGCUACUGUGUUUGAAGAGCUUGGAACAAUGAUUUGUCCACACUGCUGUUGCUGAUUAACCACCUUCUACAAACUGCUGGACGAAAGAUGGCUACAAAAUCAGGAGCAGCUGAUAGACUUGUGGUGUUUCAUAAGUCAUGCUGCAGCAUUGAUGAGCAUCUAGAUAUAAACAGUCGUCUUUUGGCCAGAAGGGAGAAGUAGAAAAAAUAUUGACAACUACAACAUCAUCCUGGAUAGGAAGCUUAUCCCUUGUAAAGUGGUUGGUUCUCUGGGUGCUUUUGAUUAACUUUCCAAUGUUCACUCUUUUUAACCUGUCCUAUGAUGACGCUGUGGUCAACUUUUACUUUUUUCUACAUACAACUGUCUUCAAGAUAGGUGUUGGCAAAACAAGAGUCGUUGAAUUUGAAACUCCUGUGUUUAAAAAAUAAAUAAAUAAAUAAUCAUUAAUUUGAUUGUGAAAGAUGACCAGUUUUUGCUUUUAACAAGCUGUGUUGAUACCGUAGGAAUGGAUGAGCACAUUAUUUUGACAUUAUUACAGACCAUUUGAUAAGCAGUAUUCAUACAAUACUGAGGACAGAAAUGCUUAUAUUGUGCCUUGUCACUUGUGUUAAAAGUGAACCAAUUCUCAGGUGUUAAGCAUAAUCUUUAAUAAAUAAGUUUGCUUGAACAACUUUUUGUUUUAAUUGUGAUUUUUAAUAUUCUCUUUUGAACAAUGAGCCAGUUGUUAAAUUCAUCUUUACCUGUACCAGAGUGUACAGGAUAUUACUUUGAUCACAAACUGGAGUUAAAUUGAAUCCUCUAGGUUGUUUUGAUGUUAUCGGUGUAGGCAAAGUGUCACAUUAUAUCCUGGCAGUGACAGUUAACUCUCUUCAGUGAAUCUAUCAACACUGGUUAGAGUAUGGUAAUGUCAACUCAGUACACUGGUGUUUAAAAUAUCUGGAGUUAAAAUAGAUCUUGAAAGUGUUAAAUUGUCACUCUUUAUUCUAGUGUUAAAGAAAAAAAUAACUCUUUGUGGUGUGGACCAGAGUUGUUUUUCAACAGUGUAAUUCUAUUUCUGUUAUAGUGUUAAAUAAAUAAUGCUUUCAAGAGUGUUAUUUUAACUCUGAAAAUAUUGGGAUAAUAUGUACUCUUGUUUAGAGUUGAUUUGAACUCGAGUUGAA